ensembl:lncRNA
UCCUGGCCUGUUUCUCCCAUAGAGCUAAGAGGAGCUGGCCCUAUCCUGUCCUGUCCUGAUCUGUUUCUCCCAUAGAGCUAAGAGGAGCUGGCCCUAUCCUGUCCUGUCCUGAUCCGUUUCUCCCAUAGAGCUAAGAUGAGCUGGCCUAUUUCUCCCAUAGAGCUAUGAGGAGCUGGCCCUAUCCUGUCCUGGCCUGGCCUGUUUCUCCCAUAGAGCUAAGAGGAGCUGGCCCUAUCCUGUCCUGGCCUGGCCUGUUUCUCCCAUAGAGCUAAGAGGAGCUGGCCCUAUCCUGUCCUGGCCUGGCCUGUUUCUCCCAUAGAGCUAAGAGGAGCUGGCCUGUCCUGGCCUGGCCUGGCCUGUUUCUCCCAUAGAGCUAGCUAGAGGGCUCUGCUUUGCACCUGUGCGACAAUGUCUUGUGUGACAGCAUGUGCUGCACCAUAGAGGUCUGUCUAAGUCUAUGGUCGCUCUCCCUAAUGACACACGACGAUGAAUGACCCACUGGACUGUCAACCUUCUUUUUGACCUCUUCUUCUUCUGUCUUUUAUCGGCCUUUAGUUCUAUGGUGAUGUAUUUCCUGUUUAGGUAAUGAAACCCCUCCGCAAGCCAAAGCCGCCGACUCCCUGAGUGCUUGAACAUACUGAUUUAUACUGAGACAUGAGGAGCAUUAACACCCUGUAUAUUCCUAUAUAUUAUAUAUAUAUAUAUAUUCCUGUAACAUACGUGUAUAUAUUGUGUUUAUAAUAGUAAUAAUAAUAACUACAAUGUCUAAUGGAGGAAGAUGAAGGACGACAACAAGCCUUGGGGUCAAUAACAAGCCUUGUUUUAAUGUAAUUCUCUCUAACCUUGGGGUCAAUAACAAGCCUUGUUUUAAUGUGGGCUGGAAUAUGACAACAGAAGAUUACCGAUUGGUCAUGUUGAUAUUGAAUACUCUGUUUUUAUUGGUCAGGUUGUAUGUCUUAUAACAGUUUGGGCAUCCUGGUUUUAGAUGAUCAGUUGGCCUUAACACUUCCUGUUUCACUGCCUCGGGACCCUCCCUCUACUCUCUCUUCUUCCUGUUUCACUGCCUCGGGACCCUCCCUCUACGGUCUCUCUCCUUCUUCCUGUUUCACUGCCUCGCACCCUACCUCUACGGUCUCUCUCCUUCUUCCUGUUUCACUGCCUCAGACCCUCCCUCUACUGUCUCUCUCUCUCUUCUUCCUGUUUCACUGCCUUACCCUCCCUCUACUGUCUCUCUCUUCUUCCUGUUUCACUGCCUUACCCUCCCUCUACUGUAUCUCUCUUCUUCCUGUUUCACUGCCUCGAACCCUCCCUCUACUGUCUCUCUCUUCUUCCUGUUUCACUGCCUUACCCUCCCUCUACUGUCUCUCUCUUCUUCCUGUUUCACUGCCUCGGUACCUCCCUCUACUAUCUCUCUUCUUCCUGUUUCACUGCCUCGAACCCUCCCUCUACUGUCUCUCUCUCUCUCUCUCUCUUCUUCCUGUUUCACUGCCUCGAACCCUCCCUCUACUGUCUCUCUCUCUCUUCUUCCUGUUUCACUGCCUUACCCUCCCUCUACUGUCUCUCUUCUUCCUGUUCCCCGGGUUACGUUCCAAAAUGGCACCUUAUUCCCUAUUUGGUGUUGGAAAAGGUCACUCGUGCGCUAGUGCACUAAAUAUUUAG